GGCGCGUUGGUCUAGGGGUAUGAUUCCUGCUUCGGGUGCAGGAGGUCCCGGGUUCAAAUCCCGGACGAGCACU
rnacentral:tRNA from 1 species